CCCCAAGGGGAAGGGGACAAACACUCCUGGCUAUGUAAGCACCAGCCAGAGCAUCUGCUGUGGCUGACCCUGCUCCGUGGAGACACUGCCCAGCCUUCCUCAUGCCCAUGGAGCAGCCAUGACAGACUUCUCCUUGUCUCUGCAUGGUGAGGCUCUACUUCUCCCCUAGAAGCUAAAGGACCCUUCUCCAUGAAGUCAUCCUGGUCAUCUUCUUAGCAGUCUUCCCUGAGUUGAAAUCAGUAGUUCUCAAAGAGUUGUCAUCAGUAUCAUCUGGGAACUUGCUCAAGAUGCAAUUUUUUGCAUUCUACCCUAAAGCUACCCAGUCAGAAGCUUGAGGUGGGGGACAGCAAUAGGUUUGGACAAGCCUUCCAGAGGAUCCUUUGGAAGUCAGAGAGUGGCUGGUUGGAGCCAUGGACCUCAACCACUGGUGUGCCCGCUGAUGCUGGUGGGCCAGGCACCACCCUUUAAGAACCUCUCUCCACUUAAAUCUCUGGGGUGCAUCUGUCCAAGUUGUCAUGUGACACUUGGGCCUCCCGCCAUAGGUGCAGGCAUGGUCUCCGCAGGGCAGGGCUGUCCCACCUGCAUGGGCAGUCCAUGUACCUGGCUGGUACUCCAUAAAUACCUCUUGCACUGGACUAGGAAGGAGAGGCCUGUGACUUUUGGGCACAUUUCCACCAUGAAGAGACAACCUCAAGCCAUCAGAGGUCUUUCACUUUCUCCAUGAAGAAGAACAGCUUUAGCUUUAGCUGAAUGCCAUGGAGGAGCUUCCUGGCAGAAGAAGACCUCCCUGCCAGGUGGCCGGUGACUUGAGGCCUGGCUUAGAGAAUGGCAGCCAAUGCAGCAGAGGCGGAAGUGACAGCCUCAAAGUCUCCAACACCAUUACCAAAUCAGCACCAUAACGGCAAGAAAAAGUUAUUUCUAUUGUAAAUUGUCAAUAUUAAUCUAACGUUCAUGAUGAAUGGAGUGGUGAUGAUAAAUGAGGUGUUUAAUAAAGAUGAAAGCUCCAGCAGCCUAGGAGAAAACUCCCUUUAACUUAAAGUUAUCGUCUUGAUUAAAAUUUCCAUUUUAUUAUCCUAA